rnacentral:rRNA from 1 species
UACAGAGGUCCCAAGCGUUUGUUCGGAUUCACUGGGCGUAAAGGGUGCGUAGGUGGCAGGGUAAGUCGGAUGUGAAAUCUCCGAGCUCAACUCGGAAAUGGCAUUGGAAACUACCCAGCUCGAGGGUUGGAGGGGGGACUGGAAUGCUUGGUGUAGCAGUGAAAUGCGUAGAUAUCAAGCGGAACACCAGUGGCGAAAGCGAGUCCCUGGACAACUCCUGACACUGAGGCACGAAAGCUAGGGGAGCAAACAGG